AUAAAAAAGACAAGGCAUCAUCAUUUGAGAAGUUCGAUUCCAAACGUCCUGAGUUUUUUGGUUAUCAUUACGACGACAAUGAUAAAAAAGACAAGUCAACGUCAUUUGAGAAGUUCGAUCCCAAACGUCCUGAGUUCCUUCACUAUGGUUACAACGAUGAUGAUAAAAAAGACAAGUCAACGUCAUUUGAGAAGUUCGAUCCCAAACGUCCUGAGUUCCUUCACUAUGGUUACAACGAUGAUGAUAAAAAAGACAAGUCAACGUCAUUUGAGAAGUUCGAUCCUAAACGUCCUGAGUUCUUUCACUAUGGUUACAAUGAUGAUGAUAAAAAAGACAAGUCAACGUCAUUUGAGAAGUUCGAUCCUAAACGUCCUGAGUUCUUUCACUAUGGUUACAAUGAUGAUGAUAAAAAAGACAAGUCAACGUCAUUUGAGAAGUUCGAUCCUAAACGUCCUGAGUUCCUUCACUAUGGUUACAACGAUGAUGAUAAACAAGACAAGUCAACAUCAUUUGAGAAGUUCGAUCCUAAACGUCCUGAGUUCCUUCACUAUAGUUACAACGACGAUGAUAAAAAAGAUAAGUCAACGUCAUUUGAGAAGUUCGAUCCUAAACGUCCUGAGUUCCUUCACUAUGGUUACAACGAUGAUGAUAACACUGACAAAUUAUCAUCUGUUCAAAAUUUUGAGCGUUGGGUUCCUCUUCCAUCAUUUCAUUAUACUUACAGCGACGAUGAUAACACAGAGAAAUCAU
rnacentral:lncRNA from 1 species